CGGCAGGCGGACUCUCAACCACUGCGCCACCAGGGAAGCCUCAUACCUGUUCUUAUAUAUAAACAUCGCAGCCUCAGACAGCAUAUGAUAGUGCAGGGAACAGAGACUUUGGAAACAAACCUGGAUUUACUGUUUAUGGUCAAGUCACAUAACCUGCAUCUUUGUUUCUUCAUCUACAAUAUGGGUGGAACAAUUGACCUUUCAGGACUUUUUUGUGAAAAUGAAGGAAGCAACAUAGAAGUCAUCUCUUCCGCCCCUAGCAGACUGAUUUGUCUGCACAUGGUUGGGCACAUGGCCCAGACUGGGAUAGCAUUCUAUCCUCCUGGCUAUUGUGACUGAUACAGAGCUGUGUCUGUGACCUAUUCCGCACCAGCCACAGUCCUCCACCAAGUUUUUUUUAACUAGCUUCAUCAAAAUUCUCCUCCUCCCUGGAUAACAAGCCGCACAGUCCAAUGUGUUAACCACUAGCUACAUGUAGCUAUUUAAUUUCAAAUUAAUUAAAAUUAGAUAAAAUUUAUAAUUCAGUUCUUCAGUCCUACUAGCCACAUUUGGAGUUCUCAAUAGCCACGUGUGGCUAAUAGCUACUGUGCUUACCAGCACAGAUGCAGAAGUUAUAUUGGGCAGCACUGAUACCUUAGACUGACUGGCAGUGACAGCCCCCCUCAAAAAGUGUAAGAAGGUUUAUGAGAAUGAAGCUGACACCAAGACAUAAGAGAGAUGAGAGAUAACUGCCAUGGCUUUUAAGUAUCUCAUUCCCAAUUAUUCUGGUUCCGUCCGAAAUUUUGUUACAUGGUGCAAGAAAUUCCUCCUUUCGGGCUUCAAACAGUUCAAGUUGAACUUCUGUCACUUACAACCAAAAAAUCUUGAUGAAUCACAUUCUUUAGCUUGACGGGCAGCAAACCAGAUGCAGAAUCCUAGAGGGCUAACUCUGGUAAGGAUCUGUAAACGAGACAGAGCUGGACCCUAAAAGUACUACAACAGGGGGUGAACAUUUUGGCCUGUCUUCAAGGCCACCUUCCUACUAACUUAGUUGGGGCCUUCUUUUAAGAAACCUUGUCUCAGGACUUCCCUGGUGGUGCAGUGCUUAAGAAUCUGCCUGCCAAUGCAAGGGACACGGGUUCGAUCCCUGGUCCAGGAAGAUCCCACAUGCUGGGGAGCAGCUAAACCCGUGCACCACAACUACCGAGCCCACGUGCCACAACUACUGAAGCCUGCGCACCUAGAGCCUGUGCUCCGCAGCAAGAGAAGCCACUGCAAUAAGUCCCUGCACCAAAACGAAGAGUAGCCCCCACUCGCCACAACUAGAGAAAGCCUGAGUGCAGCAACGAAGACCCAACGCAGUCAAAAAAUACAUAAAAUUAAAAACAAAAAAAAAAGAAACCUUGUCUCUCCCUAUGUAGAAUCCCAUGUAUCAUAAAUUCAUCUUCUUAGUGUCCCCAGACUCACCACUGGGGACCCAAUCAUUCUCUUGGUGACUAAGUUUUUCGUUGUUUUUUUUUUAAGUCCCUGUUGCUCGCUUUCAUCCUUCCUUGUCUCAUAUCUUGUCUCAGAGCCUUCCUUUUUUCCACCCACUUUUUACUUCUGGGCCUGAGUGAAGGCAACCUCUUUCAGGAGUGUAGUUUGUGAACACUAGUUCAAGAAGCACAAGCUGAAUCUGUACUAUGCUGACUUAUAAACUGUGUGACUUUGAGCAGGUUACUUAACCUCUCUGAGCUUCAUGUCCCUCCUUGGGAAAAAAUUCUUACCACAUAAAGUUGUUAGAAGAUUAAAUAAGACCAUAUUCUAAAAGAUAAUUUGUUGAUGGCGGGGAGCCCCGUGGAGAACCCCAGAAAUAAAGGGUUUAAACGAGAAAAGAGAAUUUAUUAAAAGGAUACAGGAAUGUCUCCAGGAUACAGCUGAGCCUGAGGAAUGAACUAGAACUAGGGUAGCUGUUUCAAACAUUUUACAUAUUUAUUUUUAGAAGGCCCUGCUAAAUCUAUAGUUUUUUUUUUUGAUUUUUGUUUAUUUGGUUUUUUAUACAGCAGGUUCUUGUUACUUGUCUAUUUUAUGCAUAUUGGUGUAUAUGUGUUGGUCCCAAUCUCCCAGUUCAACCCCCACCCCCGCCACUUGCCCCCCUUGGUGUCCAUGCGUUUGUUCUCUACAUCUGUGUCUCUGUUUCUGCCUUGCAAGCCUCUAUUUCAUCUGUGCCAUUUUUCUAGAUUCCACAUAUAUGCGUUGACAUACAAUGUUUGUUU